CAGGUCUUGACAUCCUCUNNCCACUCUAGANAUAGAGCUUUCCCCUUCGGGGGACAGAGUGACAGGUGGUGCAUGGUUGUCGUCAGCUCGUGUCGUGAGAUGUUGGGUUAAGUCCCGCAACGAGCGCAACCCUUGACCUUAGUUGCCAGCAUUCAGUUGGGCACUCUAAGGUGACUGCCGGUGACAAACCGGAGGAAGGUGGGGAUGACGUCAAAUCAUCAUGCCCCUUAUGACCUGGGCUACACACGUGCUACAAUGGAUGGUACAAAGGGUUGCGAAGCCGCGAGGCCAAGCCAAUCCCAAAAAGCCAUUCUCAGUUCGGAUUGUAGGCUGCAACUCGCCUACAUGAAGCCGGAAUUGCUAGUAAUCGCGGAUCAGCAUGCCGCGGUGAAUACGUUCCCGGGCCUUGUACACACCGCCCNUC
rnacentral:rRNA from 1 species